rnacentral:lncRNA from 1 species
UAGUGGUGACUGGCGCCGUAAAGGCUGCAGGAGCCCGCAGAGGUGGAGGCGUAGGGUCACCUGUCAGAGCACUAUAGGUGAAGCUGAGGUGCGGAUCUGUCGACGAGUCCAACACGAGCUGUGACGCUGACGCUGACUGCGGUGUAAAGCCAGAGCGGAGAGGCGUAAACUGUGGUACCUGCUCAAAGCCAGAGGAGAUAGCACCCUGGGAGAC